rnacentral:tRNA from 1 species
UACAAAAUGCCUGAUAAAAGGACUAUCUUGAUGAGAUAGAAAUAGUAGACAGUCUACUUUUUGUAA